CACUGCUGGGAAUGACAGCAAUCUCUUACCUAACCUAGGUACCAUGUCACUCCCCUUUUUUAGUCUAGAUAAAAAUAAAAACCUACCACCUCACUCGAAAAAGAUGAACCGCGCGUGCUUCAAAACACGAGAGAUAAACUUCAUCAUAGCUAGGGAGGCAAAACAUUGCUGCCACCAAAAUUUAGCGCAUAGGAACCAGCUGUGCAGGUGCUUCAAAACGUUGAUGUGGUAUGAUAAUUAUAAAUCGUCGGGGCGUAGGCAAAAGUGCUUGCGAAGCGCGCUUCGCUGUAGUAGGCGAUUCUAGCUACUGCUUGUCUCUCUGCUGAGUCGCUUCUCUGCUGAUGGCGAUCGUGAAGAGCUGAGACGAACUUGUACCGCUCGGCUGGCUCCUCCUCCAUGCGGCCUACGGCAACCAGCAGCUUCUUGUCCCCCACAAGACGGAGCUCUGUCAUGGAGGUGCUGCUGCCCCCGACCUCGUGUGCGUACAGCGCUCCGCCUUGCUCCUGCAGCAGCAGGUGCCCCCG
rnacentral:lncRNA from 1 species